rnacentral:rRNA from 1 species
AGCAGCCGCGGUAAUUCCAGCUCCAAUAGCGUAUAUUAAAGUUGUUGCAGUUAAAAAGCUCGUAGUUGAAUUUCGGGACUGACAGGUUGGUCGCGCCUUCGGUGUGUACUGGCCUAGUCGGUUUCUCCCUUCUGACGAACCACGAUGUCAUUAAUUUGGUGUCGUGGGGAAUCAGGACUGUUACUUUGAAAAAUUAGAGUGUUUAAAGCAGGCUUAGGCUUGAAUACAUUAGCAUGGAAUAAUGAAAUAGGACGUUUGAUCCUAUUUUGUUGGUUUCUAGGAUCGACGUAAUGAUUAAUAGGGAUAGUUGGGGGCAUUAGUAUUCAAUUGUCAGAGGUGAAAUUCUUGGAUUUAUUGAAGACUAACUACUGCGAAAGCAUUUGCCAAGGAUGUUUUCAUUAAUCAAGAACGAAAGUUAGGGGAUCGAAGACGAUCAGAUACCGUCGUAGU